GAUGAAGAACGUAGCGAAAUGCGAUAAGUAGUGUGAAUUGCAGAAUUCAGUGAAUCAUCGAAUCUUUGAACGCACAUUGCGCCCAUUAGUAUUCUAGUGGGCAUGCCUGUUCGAGCGUCAUUUCAACCCUUAAGCCCCUGUUGCUUAGCGUUGGGAGCCUACAGCCUGCUGUAGUUCCUCAAAGUUAGUGGCGGAGUCAGUUCACACUCUAGACGUAGUAAAAUCUUUAUCUCGCCUAUAGAUGAGCUGGCGCCUUGCCGUAAAAACCCCUAAUCUUUUACAAGGUUGACCUCGGAUCAGGUAGGAAUACCCGCUGAACUUAAGCAUAUCAAUAAGCGGAGGA
rnacentral:misc_RNA from 1 species